UAUUUUUCUUUUCCUUCCCUUCCCUUCCCUUCCCUUGGUGUAAUACAAAUACACAUGUGAAGGGAAGGUGUAAUAAACACUUAAUUGCCUUCGUCAUCGCAUCGCAAAGAAAAGGAAA
rnacentral:ribozyme from 14 species